AAAUCUUGUUGCCAAGGUAAUACAGCAUAGGCCUGGAUCCGCUGAAAGGGAUGCCUCAGCCAUCUCGUGCCAGCAGGAGCUAUCUGAUUAGAAGAGAGCUUUCAAAAGGAAGAGAAACAGUACUUUUGCAGAACCCAGAGGAGAAUGCAAAGAUAACUGCUGUUGUAUUCAUUGCUCACUACCAACUCAUAGAUGAAAAGACUUCCAGGCAGAAAAUAAGUAUAAACCAAAACAGAUGAUGGGAGAGACUGGGAAAAUGAAUUUCCUUCGAUUCUGUUCUGGUGCGCUCUACAAUCUGUUCUAACUCACCAGAUGAUGCGCCAGCCUUUAAAUAAAAGCCAGGUCCAGAGAGCAUGACUGCAGAGUGAAGUGGUACUCACCUCUAAGCCCAGCUCCCAGCGAUGCUGAGGCAGGAGGACCAUCUAGCAAGACUCCGGGUUUAGUAGUGCUUUCAGCGAGAGCAUGCUCCCCUAAAGUCAGUGCUCAGCACACGGAAGAAGUUAUUCAUAGUGAUUGAGAUCACAUAGGAGCACCAAGAAGAACCAGCUGUAACAUGUGUGACAGUGCGCCAUCAUCAGGACCUGUAACAGAAGGGCUGGGCUUCAGGACAACUGAUCGUCAGUGGGCAAUUGGUCAUGGGUGGGCUAUUGGUUGUCGGUGGGCAAUUGGUCGUCUGGGCAUACAAUUCUAAUUCAUUUGCACUUGCUUAUUCACUUUACAGAGCAAUUACGUGACUAGCAAAAAUAAUUUCGGGUUAGCAAAUCAAUUCCGAUCGCAUUGAAAAUGAAAACUUACCACCCCUCCU